GACGAACGCUGGCGGCAUGCCUAAUACAUGCAAGUCGAGCGAACAGAUGAAGUGCUUGCACUUCUGACGUUAGCGGCGAACGGGUGAGUAACACGUAAGGAAUCUACCUAUAAGCGGGGGAUAACAUUCGGAAACGGGUGCUAAUACCGCAUAAUAUCUUCUUCCGCAUGGAAGAAGAUUGAAAGACGGCUCUGCUGUCACUUAUAGAUGACCUUGCGGUGCAUUAGUUAGUUGGUGGGGUAAUGGCCUACCAAGACGAUGAUGCAUAGCCGACCUGAGAGGGUGAUCGGCUACAUUGGGACUGAGACACGGCCCAAACUCCUACGGGAGGCAGCAGUAGGGAAUCUUCCGCAAUGGGCGAAAGCCUGACGGAGCAAUGCCGCGUGAGUGAAGAAGGCCUUCGGGUCGUAAAACUCUGUUAUGAGAGAAGAACAAAUUGUAGAGUAACUGCUACAGUCUUGACGGUAUCUUAUCAGAAAGCCACGGCUAACUACGUGCCAGCCGCCGCUGUAA
rnacentral:rRNA from 1 species